GAGACCUUAGUUUAAUGGUAAAAUACGAGACUUUUAAUCUUUGUUAUAUGGGUUCGAGAAGUUUGAAGCUUCAAAUUUUA
rnacentral:tRNA from 1 species